GCUCGUCAUGGCGAGGAUAAAAAGGACUUCAGGCCAUGAGCGUUGAUUGUUGGGACAGAUCCUGACAAUCAGGUAGUC
rnacentral:ribozyme from 1 species